GAGACAGAGUCUUGCUCUGUCGCCCAGGCUGGAGUGCAAUGAUGUGAUCACAGCUCACUGCAACCUCUCCAUGCUAGGCUCAAGCCACCCUCCCACCCCGGGCCUCACGAGUAGCUGGGACCACAGGCCCACAUCACCACAUCCAUCUAGUUUUUUUGUAUUUUUGCUAGAGACAGGAUCUUGCUAUAUUGCCCAGGCUGGUCUUGGACUCCUGAGCUCAAGCAAUCUACCCGCCUUGGCCUUCCAAAGUGCUGGGAUUACUAGGCAUGAGCCACCAUGCCCAGCCUUCCCCGGUAUUCUUUAUUCUGCCUGGUUUCUGCUUUGGGAAGUUCACGGACUGAUGGGACAAACAUGCACAAUCAUACAAGGAAGCUGGGGGUGCCAGGAGGGCUGCACUAAGGCCCUGAGACCCCCCUACAUCGGGGGUCUGCCCAGACCCUGCAUGGCCUCUGACUGGGUGGGUAAAUCCAAUCUGGGGUUGGUAUUAGGAAACCACUUGUUUGCAGGUAUUAUAUGCCACAUUCUCCAAUAUCAAUUUUGUAAGAAAUAGAGCUGAUGCAUUUGGUCUCCAUCUGCCUAGAUUCUUUGUCUCAUUUCUCAAUGGGCUCAGAACUUACAGCGGCAGGGUGCUCUUUUGGGGGCCAUAUUGAACUCCAGUAGUGACAGUUAGGUCAGCCCUAAUGUCUGACAGUUAAAAGAAAAAGAAUGUCAGGCCAAUGCUAUGUAUCCAAAAUGGUGGUCUCUGAAGUUGGGGAGCAGUGGGUGAACUUUCCUGGCACAGGGAACCGAAAACACAAGAGGCUUAGAAGUGGGAAGGCACAAGAGUGUCUGAAGACUGUGAAACCCUGAAGCUGCUGGAAUACCAGGGAUGUGAAGACCGGGAGGAGCCUGGGGAAGACCUUUACAUUUCAGGUGUUUUAAGACUUCUUGGAGGCAAUGUCAGGGCACCUCUGGUGGGAUUCCCUCCCCUUCUGGAUGGGUGCAGGCUGUACCACUUGUCCCUUGGAUUUGCAAUUCCAGGAGGAAAAUAAUGAGCCAGCAUUGUGGGAAAAUGUCACUCUGCCCCAGUGAUCAGUCUCUAAGACUGGGGAGGGAAGUCAAGCUUGAAACGGCAGAGUGGAUUUUCUCUUCAAGGAGCACUUUUAAAGAAAACAAAGGCUUCUGUGAUCAAUAUUUUAUGUCAAACAUCCUGUGAGGAUGAAGGGCCCUUCUAUGCUUCACCAUUUUAACCUCUCAUUUGGAAAAGCAAAAAGGCCUGAGAGAAGCUGCGUUCGCAAAAUCUCUCCUGGAUGACUUGUUCAGAAGCCAAUUCAGUAAAUUCAAACUGUUCCAGAGUCCCCUUUUGAAAACCACAGAUGCCAUGGACCCACUAAGGUGAGGACGCAGUGUUUGUCCCCUCCAGGAGACACAGUGUUCAAGGCGCCAUCUUGGAAGCAGAGACCAAGCCCUUGCCAUACUAAAACGGCUAGCACUGUGAUCUUGGACUUGUCAGCCUCCACAAUGGCUCACAGUUAGACUACAUUCCUAGCCUCCUGAAGAGUUAGGUACAGCUGUGUGACUGAAUUCCUGCCAACGAAAUGUGGUGAGAACCACUUCCAGGCCUGGCCCACAAAAACCUCCCAUAGACAAUUCUUCAUCCUCUUUCCUUUUGCAUCAGGCCUGAUACAGAAGAGCAUGACAACUUUGGAACCCCUGCGUAGAAAGCGGAGAAGCCACAAGCUGAGGAGCCUCUGGAUUCUUCCAAUUUUAGCAGUCCUUCCAAUUUUAGCUCUGGAUUUUGUUCAAAUGAAAAACAAAUCCCAACAUUUCCAAAGCAAGUAACACUGUACAAUCAUAAGUCAUUUCAAAAUCACAGAGAAAAGUAGCAAUCUUCCCAAAGAAUUAAGAAAUUCUGCUAGGCCAUGAAACAAGUGUUAAUACAUUUGAAAAACUGAAAUUAUACAUCAUAUCUUUUCUAAUCACAGUGAACUGGAACUAGAAAUUAAUAACAGAAGGAAAGCUGGAAAAUCCACAAAUAUGUGGAAAUUAAACAAUACACUCUCAAACAACCAAUAGGUUAAAGAAGAAAUCAUAAAAGAAA